GACGAACGCUGGCGGCGUGCUUAACACAUGCAAGUCGAACGAUGAAGCCUAGCUUGCUAGGUGGAUUAGUGGCGAACGGGUGAGUAAUACGUGAGUAACCUACCUUUAACUCUGGGAUAAGCCCGGGAAACUGGGUCUAAUACCGGAUACGACCAAUCUCCGCAUGGGGUGUUGGUGGAAAGCGUUAUGUAGUGGUUAUAGAUGGGCUCACGGCCUAUCAGCUUGUUGGUGAGGUAACGGCUCACCAAGGCGACGACGGGUAGCCGGCCUGAGAGGGUGACCGGCCACACUGGGACUGAGACACGGCCCAGACUCCUACGGGAGGCAGCAGUGGGGAAUAUUGCACAAUGGGCGCAAGCCUGAUGCAGCGACGCCGCGUGAGGGAUGACGGCCUUCGGGUUGUAAACCUCUGUUAGCAGGGAAGAAGAGAGAUUGACGGUACCUGCAGAGAAAGCGCCGGCUAACUACGUGC
rnacentral:rRNA from 1 species